rnacentral:tRNA from 2 species
GGGUCGGUAGCUCAGUGUGGAAGAGCGUACGAGUUGUUAAACCGUAAGCUGCAGGUUCGAGUCCUGAUCAACCCG